AAUCCGCUUUGAUAAUGCUGGGAUGUGAUGGGGAGCGAAAUUUAGUAGCGAAGUAGCUGAUUUCACACUGUCAAGAAAAGUCUCUAUCGAGGUUAAAGGUACCCGUACCGCAAACCGACACAGGUGGGUGAGGAGAGUAUCCUAAGGCCAGCGAGAGAACUGUUGUUAAGGAACUCGGCAAAAUGACCCCGUAACUUAGGGAUAAGGGGUGCCACCAUCAGGUGGCCGCAGAGAAUAGGCCCAAGCGACUGUUUACCAAAAACAUAGGUUUCUGCUAAGUCGCAAGACGAUGUAUAGGAGCUGACGCCUGCCCGGUGCUGGAAGGUUAAGGGGAUCUGUUAGAGCAAUCGAAGCAGUGAACUUAAGCCCCAGUAAACGGCGGCCGUAACUAUAACGGUCCUAAGGUAGCGAAAUUCCUUGUCGGGUAAGUUCCGACCCGCACGAAAGGCGUAACGAUUUGGGCACUGUCUCAACAACAGACUCGGUGAAAUUGUAAUUCCGGUGAAGAUGCCGGAUACCUGCGACAGGACGGAAAGACCCCAUGGAGCUUUACUGUAGCUUGACAUUGGGUCUUGGUACUACAUGUACAGGAUAGGUGGGAGGCUUUGAAACCAGGACGCCAGUUUUGGCGGAGCCAUCCUUGGGAUACCACCCUUGUA
rnacentral:rRNA from 1 species